rnacentral:rRNA from 1 species
AUGGAUCAUAGGAAACAAUGCAGUUGUUGGCUUGCUGCAGGAAUUCAUGAAUUUGUCAAGUUCCAAACUGGGCCGCAUGGUAGGAAAAGACCUUUUGGUAUUCCACAUGCUGUUCAGAUCACGCAGGUUAGUGGUAUUCUUGCUUCAGUUUUGCCCUUUGUACUUUGUCUGUCACUAAAAAUUUCACCAACCGAUGCGUGUCUUUGUGAUUCAAUUCUGUUGACAUGUAAAUUGCACGGUGCCAACACAAGGAAUAUCACAUUUAUUUUUCAACUAAAGACAUUAAGAAUACCAAAUGUACAUAUAUAA